GAACGCACAUUGCGCCCCUUGGCAUUCCGAAGGGCAUGCCUGUUCGAGCGUCAUGACCAAAUCUCAAGCCUUGCUUGGUAUUGGGUUUUCGUCUUCCUUGUCUUCAUACGGGUAUUGACGUGCCUGAAAAUCAAUGACAGUACCUCAACAAUAGACUCAAGCGUAGCAGACUGACUCGCUUUAGACGACUUUGUAGGUCCUGUAAAUAAAAUAACAAGUUGGACCUCGGAUCAGGUAGGGAUACCCGCUGAACUUA
rnacentral:misc_RNA from 1 species